rnacentral:rRNA from 1 species
GACGAACGCUGGCGGCAGGCUUAACACAUGCAAGUCGAACGCCGUAGCAAUACGGAGUGGCAGACGGGUGAGUAACGCGUGGGAACGUGCCUUUUGGUUCGGGACAACUGAGGGAAACUUCAGCUAAUACCGGAUAAGCCCCGAGGGGGAAAGAUUUAUCGCCAAAAGAUCGGCCCGCGUCAGAUUAGGUAGUUGGUGGGGUAAUGGCCUACCAAGCCGAUGAUCUGUAGGUGGUCUGAGAGGAUGAUCACCCACACUGGGACUGAGACACGGCCCAGACUCCUACGGGAGGCAGCAGUGGGGAAUAUUGGACAAUGGGGGAAACCCUGAUCCAGCCAUGCCGCGUGGAUGAAGAGGGCCCUAGGGUUGUAAAGUCCUUUCGCCGCUGAAGAUAAUGACGGUAAGCGGAGAAGAAGCCCCGGCUAAUUUCGUGCCAGCAGCCGCGGUAACAC